AUUGAACGCUGGCGGCAUGCCUUACACAUGCAAGUCGAACGGUAACAGCACUUCGGUGGCUGACGAGUGGCGAACGGGUGAGUAAUACAUCGGAACGUGCCCGAGAGUGGGGGAUAACGCAGCGAAAGCUGUGCUAAUACCGCAUACGAUCUACGGAUGAAAGCAGGGGACCGCAAGGCCUUGCGCUCACGGAGCGGCCGAUGGCAGAUUAGGUAGUUGGUGGGAUAAAAGCUUACCAAGCCGACGAUCUGUAGCUGGUCUGAGAGGACGACCAGCCACACUGGGGCUGAGACACGGCCCAGACUCCUACGGGAGGCAGCAGUGGGGAAUUUUGGACAAUGGGCGAAAGCCUGAUCCAGCCAUGCCGCGUGCAGGAUGAAGGCCUUCGGGUUGUAAACUGCUUUUGUACGGAACGAAAAGGUCUUUUCUAAUAAAGAAGGCUCAUGACGGUACCGUAAGAAUAAGCACCGGCUAACUACGUGCCAGCAGCCGCGGUAAUACGUAGGGUGCAAGCGUUAAUCGGAAUUACUGGGCGUAAAGCGUGCGCAGGCGGUUAUAUAAGACAGAUGUGAAAUCCCCGGGCUCAACCUGGGAACUGCAUUAGUGACUGUAUAGCUAGAGUGCGGCAGAGGGGGAUGGAAUUCCGCGUGUAGCAGUGAAAUGCGUAGAUAUGCGGAGGAACACCGAUGGCGAAGGCAAUCCCCUGGGCCUGCACUGACGCUCAUGCACGAAAGCGUGGGGAGCAAACAGGAUUAGAUACCCUGGUAGUCCACGCCCUAAACGAUGUCAACUGGUUGUUGGGAAUUUACUUUCUCAGUAACGAAGCUAACGCGUGAAGUUGACCGCCUGGGGAGUACGGCCGCAAGGUUAAAACUCAAAGGAAUUGACGGGGACCCGCACAAGCGGUGGAUGAUGUGGUUUAAUUCGAUGCAACGCGAAAAACCUUACCCACCUUUGACAUGUAUGGAAGAUCGCAGAGACGCGAUUGUGCUCGAAAGAGAGCCAUAACACAGGUGCUGCAUGGCUGUCGUCAGCUCGUGUCGUGAGAUGUU
rnacentral:rRNA from 1 species